rnacentral:rRNA from 1 species
AUGCUGCCGAAGGUCUCGAAGAGCAAGAUCGGCUUCUUCAGGGUGUGGGAGAAGCCGUCCGAGAACUUUGACAAGGUCACAAAGGGAAGGGGUUCAGUUCUCGGGUACGCAAACGCACGAUACAUGGAGGUGAUAUUUUCUGCUGUCAUCGAUGAGCUCGCCGGUAGAUCCAUGUCCUUCCUCGUGGACAGAUACCUGAAGCGGAUGGCGGCGCCGACGGAGGAGGAGCGGCUGCGGAGCCUGCAGCGGCUGCUGCUGCGGGUUCGCGUCGUUGUCGAGAAGGCAGAUGGCCAGCUCAUCACGAACCAGGUCAUGAUGCAUCAACUCGGCAUACUGAAAGAAGAGAUGUACAGAGGGUGCUACACCCUCGACGUGCUCAGUUGCCAAUCCCAUGGAGAAGACAGGACGAAAGAUCAUGAGCCGUACAGCACGCAUCUGCUGCUGAGCAAGUGCAUGUUCGGGCGCCAAAUGGAGAUGGAACAUGUCCUGAACUUCCUGCUGCAAACCGAUGGAGCUGGAAGUCCGGCGGUCAUGCCGAUCAUCGGUCCAAGGAAAGUCGGAAAGAGCACCCUGAUCGAGCACGCUUGCGACGACGAAAGGGUGCGCAGCCACUUCUCUCGGAUCAUGUGUUUCAAUGGAGAUGGCCUUGAAGAUGCUAGUGUGGAGGCUCUGCGAGACGGAGCCAGAAUCAAGCAUCGAAACCGCGGUGGCACGGGCGGCGGAAGGACAUUGAUCAUCAUCGAGCCACUUGCGGACAUUGACGACCAUGCAUGGAGGAGCCUGUACUCGGCUGCAAGAGGCCGCGUCGCGAGCGGGAGCAAGAUCAUAGUGGCGAGCCGGUCCGACAAGAUCGCACGCUUCGGAACCACGCAGCCCCUCAGGCUACACCUCUUCACCCCGGAGGCGUACUGGUACUUCUUCAGGGCGCGCACCUUCGGGAGCGCGAGGGCGGAAGACCACCCGAGGCUCGCGGCAAUCCUGCUGAAGCUGAACCUGGACCUGGAGAUCCUGAGACGACGAUGA